AAUUUACUUUAUUAUAGCAAAAAUAUUCUUUGAUAUUUUUCUGGCUGUGUUAAUGAAAGUUCUGUGGGGAUGAGCUGGCAGAAUUAUUUAUAUUUUAUUUGAUUUAAAUGAUUAGUAGGAUUAAAAUUCUCUUUCUUUUUAGUAUUUUAUAAUUUAUCAUUAUUUAUUUAUUAUUUUCUUUAAAUUAAAUUUUUUAUAAAAGUGAAUAAAGGAAUUAUAUACUUUUGGCAAUAAUUAUGUAAUUAGUAAAAUUAGUUUUAAAUUUAUUUUAAAUUUUAAGGUAAAUUUAAGGAACUCGGCAAUAAGUUUUUCGCCUGUUUAAUAAAAACAUGUUCUUUUGAAAAUGAUUUAAGAUUUGACCUGCCCACUGAGGAUUUAAAUGGCCGCGGUAAUUUGACCGUGCGAAGGUAGCAUAAUCAAUAGUUUUUUAAUUGAAAGCUGGUAUGAAUGGUUGGACGAGAAAACUUCUGUCUCAAGUUUAAUUUUUUUGAAUUUUAUUUUUGAGUCAAAAAGCUUAAAUGAAAUUAAAAGACGAGAAGACCCUAUAGAGUUUAAUUUAUUAUUUUGUUUAUUAGAAGAAGGAAAAAUCAAAUAAAUAAAUUUUGCUGGGGUGGCCUUAAGAUUGAAUUAACUCUUAAUUUUUUUUUCAAUAAUUUUUGUAAUUUUUGAUCCUUUUAAGAUUAUUAGAUCAAAUUACCUUAGGGAUAACAGCGUUAUUUUUCUUGAGAGCUCUAAUCGAAAGAAAAGAUUGCGACCUCGAUGUUGGAUAAAAUAAAC
rnacentral:rRNA from 1 species